AACAGGGAAACUGGAGAAAAAACUGUGUUGUUAUGAGUGGAGAGGUUUUACAAACAAGCUGUGCACGUCGGAAAACACAAGUUUGAAUGUUCCAGCCCCGUGUUUGCUGAAAAUGAGGAAUGGCCUCAGCGUCAGGCCUGAGUGAGCGCCGCCAUCUUUAUUCGGGACGAUUCACUGGACACGUGCGCGGCCGCCAUCUUUGUAGGGGGCAAGGUGCAGCCAGGCGCAUGUGCAGCCUGUCUCUGGUACAGAGACAUUGUGAUGACAGCAGCCAAUCCUGCUCUGAUUCACCUCUGGGCUCCCUCAGGACCACUUUGUCAAUGUCCAGCUUCCUCAGUCUCCAACCAUGGGGAUCCCAGUGAUUAAUGCCAAAGCCCUGUUGCCUGGGGAGAGGGUGAUGUUUGACUUUCUUGUACAGCUGCAGUUUGUGUGGUGAAGGUGCUCCCACAAUGUGGUUGGAUUCCAACAUCUGCCAAGAUGGGAUUCGAACCAGGACUUCAGUCGUUUGUUUUAAUAUUUUGGAUAAAAGUUAAAUACAUUAGGUGGACAUUCAGAUGGUAAUCUCAGUAAAUAUUCUGCCAAACUCUGAAUUACUCAAUACAUCAGGAUCUGGAUAUUUGCAUUGUGUGUGUGUGUGAUGAGGGUGUCACUGACUGGGCCCAAAGGGCAGUAAAGAGUCAACCACAUUGCUGUGGGUCUGGAGUCACAUGUAGGCCAGACCAGCACAACCAGAACUGGACAGAGUAUUCCAGAAGUGGCCUCCCCAACGUCCUGCACAUCCUCAACAUAACGUCCCAACUCCUGUACUCCAAGGUCUGAGCAAUGAAGGAUGAGGCUGUCACUGGCUCGGCCAGCAUUUAUUGCUGCAUUUACCCAGAGGGCAGUUAAGAGUCAACCACGUUGCUCUAGGUCUGGAGUCCCAUGCAGACCAGACCAGAUUCCAGUGAUUAAUGCCAAAGCCCCAUUGCCUGUGGAGAAGGUGAUGUUUGACUUCCUGUCCAGCUGCAGUUCAUGUGGUGAAGGUGCUCCCACAAUGUGGUUGGGUAACUGCUGUUAUAGAUUAUUCACUCAGCGACAGUGAAGAGUUGACAAUGUCACCGUACAGCCUCUGACGGUCCAGGGAAAACAGCCUAUCCAACCCUGGCAACAUCCUGGACUUCUUUUCGGACCCCUUUCAAGUUUGAGAACAUCCAUCUGACAGGAAGGAGACCAGAAUUGCAUGGAAUAUUACAAAAGUUGCCGAAUCAAUGUCCAGUACAGCCGCAAUAUGACCUCCCAACCCCUACACUCAAUGCUCUUACCAAUAAAGACAAGCAGACCAACUGCCGCCUUCACUAAUCUAUCUGCUUGCUUCUCUACCUUCAAGGAACUAGGAAACCUGCACUCCAAGGACUCUUUCUUUAGCAGCACUCCCUAGGAACUUAUUAUAAACUAAGUCCUGCUAAAGUUUGCUUUUCCAAAAUGCAGCAGCUCGCAUUCUUCUAACCUGAACUCCUCAGCCCAUCACCCAUCUGAUCCAGAUCCUCUUGUACUCUGAGGGUGCUAGAUGGUGAAGGUUUGCAGACUGAAAUCUCAAAGCCAUGUGCAGAUUGUGAUUAAGUUAACCAGCAUUUGAAGAACCAAACAUGGGGAAUCACUUGGCCAAAAUCCUGCAACCCUCUCCUCACAGCAUUGUCAGUCUCUCUGCGCCAAAUGGACUGUGAAUGGUUUAAAACAGCAGCUCACAACCAUCUUCUCAAGGGUAACUAGAGAUGGGGAAUAAAUGCUGGCUGAGCCAGUGAUGCCCAUAUCCUGGAAACGGUUUCUAUCUCUAGUUGCUGAAACCCCGUUGAUGUUACUGCAGGAUGGUGAGGGACGCUGAGUGCAUCCUCCAGGAGGCAGCACCAUCACAUCACCCCUGCCUACACCCACACAGUAACACCGCAACAUCACUGGAACAAAAGGCAGUGAAGCUCAAGGAGGACUCAGAUAUAGUUCUUCGAGGUAGAGUCAUAAAACGGGAUUAGAACACAGCAGGAACAGGAGACAGCUGGAUGGUCAGCUGUUACCCAUUGAACGGUGGAGCAGGAUUGAAAGGCCGAAUAGCCUCCUGCUGCUAUCUCCCAGGUAUAUAUACAGCCAUGGAGCCUGGGUAGUGAGAAGUGGGCAGGGCAGGGAUUCUGCAGGCGAAUGCACUUCCACAUCAGUUUUCAGUGAGGGACGGUUUGAUGGAUUUUAUUUAACAUUUAUCUUUAACACAAGGUUUGUGAAUUUGUUUUUAAAAUGUUGUAGCUGUUUAUUCCACAAUAAAUAAAACUAAAAGAAAUGAAUUGAAA